AUUGGUAAAUUAAAAGCACUGCAGCAACUCGAUCUAUCCUAUACUUACUCCCUUUCUGCAUUACCAAAUAGCAUAGGGUCUUUGGAGAAUCUAGAGAUUCUAGAUAUUUCUUGCAGUGGUAUAGAAGAAUUGCCCAAUGGUAUUGGGAGUUUGAGAAAGCUCCGAGAGUUACGUGCUUUAUGUUGCGGAAAAUCUGAAAGGGAUAAUGGUAGAAAGCAUGCGUACUCUUUCUUCCCUACGAUGCCUUGAUUUUACACGCUGCAAGAAGCUCCAAUUGCUGCCGGACCUUCCUUCGGGCUUAACAUAUUUGGGCGUCACCUGUCAAAGUCGCAAAUUGCCUUCGCUUUCCCACCUAGCCCAUCUCAAGGAACUACGAGUUGAGGGUUGCGGAUUUAUCCAGUGCAUCCAGGAGCUUCCAUCAACGCAAUUAAAGAGUUCAGAAUGCUCCCAACCGAUGGACAUUGAAGAAAUGGAAUCACCACAAUCCCUAAACACGCCCUUCAAGUUCGAAUCCUUGGAAGUCUCUUUUGUAGAUCUAUCGAAAUGCUGGACGUUUCACAGUUUGUCCAUCUAAGGACAUUAGUGGUCUGCGGUUGCGAGAAUCUACUUGAAAUUCGAGGUCUUGACAAAUUGAUAUAUUUGGAAAGCUUGGAUAUCAUAGGCUGCAAUUCAAUCAAACAGGUGGACCUUCCAAAACUCGAGGGUCUGAAGAAAUUGACUAUUAAGACAUGCCACAAAUUAGCCGAAAUUCAAGGCCUUGAUAGGUUGGAGUAUUUGGAAAGUUUAGAUAUCCAACGGUGCACUUCAAUGGAAAGGCUAGACCUUCCAAAAUCCGGGAGGCUGAAGGAAUUAGUAGCUAUAGAUUGCUAUAAAUUAGCUGAAAUUGAAGGCCUUGAUAGGUCGGAGUAUUUGGAAAGUUUAGAUAUCCGCUGCACUUCAAUGGAAAGGCUAGACCUUCCAGAAUCCAGGAGGCUUAAGAUACAAGCUAGAAGAUGCAUACUUAGCCGAAAUUGAAGGCCUUGAUAGGUUAAAGUUGCAGGAACUGAAUAUCAUCGGAUGCAAGUCACUCAAAACAAUUCCAGAAUUAUCUGGAACUCAGAUUUAUCGAUCAAAUGAGAUUACAAAUAGCGAAAUGAUAGGAUUAUGAAUCAAACGAUACGGAUGACUCGGAUGAGUCAAUAUAAUGGAAGUAAUCCCCAUUUACUAUCAAAGGUACAUAGAGCAGGAAUUGAGGGGAGAUAUCCAUGGAAAUUGUUGUGUGCUUUGGCAACAAGAUUUUGCUUAUCAUGCCAGUAAGGGAAAUAGAUGGAAAAGGCUUUCUAAGUGCAUCAUUUGUCAUUAGUUUUCGGCAAGCAGAGGUGUGGCUUGUGUUUUGGCUACAAGAAAGCUGGCCCUGGUCUACAUACUUGGACAAGGAUGUAGAUGAAAUCUCAGAUUCAAAAUGAACGUCUACUGUGGGUGGACCUCUAUUGCUGGGGACAGUCUCUCCUGAAAAAAUGGACUUCAUCAAGUUGCUUAACAGGCUUUGAACAUUGAAGAUUACUUCAUGUCAUCCAGGCAUCAUUAUAUGUAAUGCAUAAGCAGUGGGUUGAUGCCACUAACAUAUUUCGCGAGGAAGUUUGAUUUGUUGUCAAACCUUGUUAGUGACCAUGGCAAGUGAUACUGUUAAUUCAGAGCGGUAGAUGGCGUUUCAUUUUUCUUCAUUUAACUAUUUUCGUUUGCUUAUCUAGGUCUUGACUCUUUCCCUCAGGAGUUUUCCAAUCUAUCAGUUUCGUGUUAAUUCUCUGGAUGAAGUGUGAUAGGGUAUGAAGUGUGUAUCACAAGUUGUUUGUGGUGCUGGAAAAGAACUUCUGCUAGUUGUCCUCAAUCAUCUGCGGGUGCGUGUUAUUAUCUUUGCAUCUGGCCUUUUUCCUUCAUGCAUCUCAGUGAACAGUCUUGGAGGUGAUCGGAUAGAGAUAGGAAUUUGCUACAGGAAAUUAUUCUUCUGCACAUCUUGAAACAAGCCAUAUUUUUCAGAACAUCCUGAUGUUGAUUCUUCAUACAAUCAUAUUGUAUGCAAUGAUAUGAAUUAUUAAUAUUAAGUGACUGGAAAGGGUCAAGUAAAAUCUGAUUUGAGUCUGAUUCAAUAAGUUGCCAAUGUCUCCUAUAAGUGUAUAAUGGAAGUUGUAGGUCAUUAAUCAUUGGUUUGAACUUGAACUUAAUCUAAGUUUGAGCUUUGAGUGUACUGUACAUGGAGAUUUGGAUAUAGAAUGUUUAUACAUUCACAUUAUAAUUAGCACAUGUAGAGAUAUGUUCUCAAUUUAAAAGGAAAGAGUUUAUUGCCCACUUCGAUCUUAGCAUAUAUCCCCUUACAAUUGCGAGAGUCAAUUUUUGUACCAAAUAAUCAUAUUCAAAGCUUUGUACCCAUUGAUAUUACUAUUAGAGCCUGGGGGAAGUUAGACUUAUUUAUAUUGCCAAAUUCCACCCAUUGAACUCAGUGUAGUUAGUAAAACUCUUCUUUCUUGUGUUAUGUUUAUGGUCAACAAGCUAAGGAUGAGAAUAAAAACUCAGAUCUUCAAAGAAAAUGAGCAGAAAACUAACUGGUGGUUGCUCGGAUGACAGUGAAUCGAGCCUACAUGGAUCUAAUCUGUGAUGCUUAACCAUGGUUAUGAGAGCCUCUGUUCUUAAUCAUUUGUUUAGUACUUAGAUGUGAGAAUUGAUUAUUUUGUAUUAUUAUUUUUAUCUUUAGAUCACCUUUUUUGAUAUACCACCUCUUUUUUGGCAGACCAAUGCUGAGGAUGUCAACUCCUAGUAUUGAAAUUGGUUUUACUAAGUUGCAUGCCAGAUAGAUUCAUAUUAGGUGUUUGAGACCUACUGAUGCAUUAUACUUGCAUUUUUCCUCUUCAAAUCAGUUUUGUAUACUACUCUUAGUCCCUAGUAUUGAUCCUUUUCUAGUAGUUUGUUGGUAGCUCUUUGGAUCCAACGUUUCUUUUGAACUUUUUCGAUCUUGACUUUCAGUACUAGCGGCACUCUUUUGUCAUGGUGACGUUACUCGCAAAAAAGUGAGAUGUUGAUGUUGGUACUUGAAAUUAUAUGAUGAGAUAACAUGUGUUGGAAUAAAGGGCAAUUGGAAUAACUUAAAAUCCUCAAAAAAGUGUGAAGUUUCUUUUUAUAGAUUAUAUAGUUCACCUGUAGGGCACCUAUGGGGUGCAACCCAUAUACCAAAGGAGCCCAAAAAACUAAAGCCAUACACAAAACAACUCCCAAAGCCAAAAGGGAGCUCAAAUACCAGGUCAAUCAUCGACUAAUCAACCAAGGCAUUUACAUCCAUACGCAAGUCUGCACUAUACCAAAAGUGUGUGACUUUAAGCCAAAUUUCAAUAAAAUGGAACAGACAAUUUCUCUCCAUCAUAAGCUCUCUUGCUCCACGCCUUCCAAAUCAGCCAAAAGAAAUAGGGGAAUUGAGUUAAUCCCACUUGUUGUGCUGUAAACGAAUGCCCUACCAUGCCCAAAGUUCUUGCUCAAUAAAACCUCUGAUAACCCAAGAUAACAUGGCACAAGCAUAGGAAACUGUCCAAACCAUUCUUUCCAAGAACAAUGAAGGAGGGGAUGCCGUGCGGACUCUGCCUCCUUUUGAUGAGGAAACACCUAUUAACCAGUAUUUUGUCUCAUUUAUAAAGUAAGGAUUUGUUCCCAGGUUGCUUCCCAAGCAAAAAGAGAAACUCUAAUUGGAAUUCUCACUUUCCAAAUCGAUUUCUGAGGAAAAUCUGUUUUGCCACGAAUCUCCCUAUUGAGCAGCUUUUCCCCCCUUCAAGUCUGGUCCUCAUUGCUGAUAUGUGCACCAAAUGUGAAAUUCUAGAUCUUUGUGUGUGUAACAGGAGUUUGAGUAUGAUACCUGGGCUCAAAAUUGGUUUAUGUAAACAUUGCAAUCCUUUAAUUUAAAGUUUGUGCUUUUGGUUUUACCCGACUCAUCAAUUAUUUGAGCUGAAAUAUUCAUUUCUCAUUUGGCUAAUUCAGGACUUCUGUUAAUGGGUUUGUAGAUAUUUCUAUCCAAAUGCCUAUUACCAUAAAGUUGUCCUAUAUUUUUCAUUUCCUUGUCUUAGUGGCCAGAACCUUGAGACUAUAAUGAGAGAAGGAGAGAAAGAAAAGGAAACCCUUGGGGGUUAGGGGUUAUCUUCUGGAGGUUGUCCUCAACAAUGGUUUUUCACUUACCUUUGUCUAAUAAUCUAGUUUUUCGUAUUUGAUGUUUGAUUACUUAACAAUGUACAUGGAAGCUUUAGUUGGGCGAUUUUAUCGGAUUGGGCUCUGUGUUUAACUUAUGAUCCUUGUGUAUGGAAAUACUGUAUCUCAUGUUUCCUGAUUAGAAAUUUAUUUGAUAAUCACAUUUUCAAGGAAGCCGCCCAUAUGCCUUUCUCUUCUAUUUUGAAAAAGAUACUUUGUAAGAAUUUAUUGCUACAAUUCCCUCUUAUGUUAGUUUUAGCAUCCACUAAAUAUAUUCCCAAUUCACUGUCCUUCUAUAGGGUAUAUACCUUUAAUCUGAAACUACAAAUAUUACCCAGAGAUCCACAUGUGCAGAGUCCAACUGCUUUUUCAUGCUAAUCAUUACUCUAUAUGGUAUUGCAGGAUGACUUUGAAUUUGCUUCAGAUUAUAUUUCCUUCCAAAUACAUGAGGAGUCUUUUUUAGAUGUAACAAAUUGUAUAGCGGUAGUGAGUGGACUUAUGAAUGAUUCAAGCAAUGUGAAGAAGGGAAGAUCUUUGGAAGGAUCUUGUUGUGCAUCCCUCUUGGUCACUGUUGUGUGGAUUAGACUCUAUUUGAGGUGAAAACUGGGGAGAUGCUGAGAUGACAAUCCUGCAGGCUAGUGACCUUCCAUUUGUGCAUAUUGCAGGAACCACGUGUGCAAAUAAUUGAUAUUUGUACCACUUGAAGAUGACAUCACAUGCAAUUGGUUCAGUCGGUUGAAUGGGAAGAACAUGGUUCUACCACUUUGACAGGUUGAACUAGUGGUCUGGUUUUAAAAUGUUUGUUCUUUUAUUGUUCCUAUUUAUUAUUUAUCUGCUCUUCUCAUCAACACGAUUAGCAGCAGGUUAGUUUUUUCUCCUAUGUGCAUGAUGCAUACACAUGUCAUUACAUGCUUGCAAUUUCAAAGGAUGUUUUACUUUCUGCCUUACUGUAAUUGCAAAAAGUUCCAACAUGCCUUGACAACUGGAGCCUUGUAUGUAGGUUAAGAAAUGUGCCUUUGAUGGCCCUAAUGGUUUAGUAGUGCCCUUUUUGCUUCUAUUUUGUUAGGAUAUUUUUGCUCGGUUGUAUUAUUCUCACUUCUGAAACACUAAUCCCAUGAAAUUGCACAUCUAGGACCAUAUCUUACGCCUGGAGAUUGAGAAUGAGAAGCUCCGCAGCAUUCCCCGUCCUGUAGUUCUCCCUUGUCAAUUGGUGGUAGAAGUGUGGCUUGUGUUUUAGCUGCAAGAAAGUGGGCCCUGAUCUACAUACUGGACGAGUAUGAAGAAGAUAUCUCUUAUUCGGAAUGACUGUCUGUUCAAGAGUUUGUGGUGGUUAUGCUUAUGUUGCUGCUGUGGGUGGACCUCUCAUACUUGGAGCUACAGACAUUGGUGUGAGAAGCAAUGCAUGUGGGCUUUUUGACUGAUGCUCUUCGACUUCACCCUUUCUGGAGAAGUCUUAAUCCAUACCUGCCAUGUGCCUUUUUCUGCUAGGUGGGUAUUUGUCGAUUAAAAAAAAAGUGGAGUAAAAUGUAGCGAUUUAUCUAUCGAGUGGGAUGGAAUUGACCAAAAGAUGCUGAAUCAUGGCUUCUAUUUGAUGGUAACUGUUGUCAUGGUAUAGCUGUAAGCUUUGAGACCUGCUCGAUGUGCCAAGCUUUUGCUUCAUCUGUAUAUGUUCACUAUUUUCAUGUGUAAGAGAACCAAUUGUUUGGUUUGGAUUAUCUACACUUUGGGCUGAAUGGUUCGGGCA